rnacentral:lncRNA from 1 species
UCCACUAAAAGGAGGAGCCCCCAGAAAUGCAGACCCCAUACGAGUGCCUGCAGCAGCAUGGCUGGAUGCUCAUGUCAGGUAUUCAUCAUCACAAAGUGUCA